GCCCAGGGAAUUUGUGCUGGGGGUUCGUCGUGAUGCAAAAAACGCAACCAAAUGAAGUCACUUAAAAACACGUUUUAGGUCAAUGGAAAAGAGAAUGCAGAAUUCGUGUAUCGAUUUUUUUUUUUUUUCUGAAGUCAAUCAAGACUCCGUCCUCAGACGAUGUUAGUUAUAGGGUUUGAUUUUGAAUGGAACACACUGCUCCACGUUAACAUGUUUUAUCAUGCGUUUAAAUGAGUAUGGAACUCCCUAUGGUGCUUAUGUCCCACGCCACUGCUGAGCGGCACGCUGACCUUCACAUCAAUCCUGCCACACGAUCGAACACGUGUAUAAAACAGCCUAUAGAUCCGCCCUUCGGUGACCGAUUGGCCAAGUGUUCUCGAGUCUGCUACCACAGCGGAAUUUAAUGUUAAUCCUACCCAGGAUCCAGUCUCUCUAGAUGGGAAACGCGAGUGGACAACAGUACAUCCUAAGAAAAGAAAAAAAAGAAAAAGUCAAGCUUCGACCAAGAUGUCUUGCCGGUGGAAGUCUCCAGCUCUUUCCUCACCAGAAUCAGACGCAGAACUUUAAAUGAGUCCCCGGUGUCAAGACCAACGGCAGCCGCACAACAGUGUAAUUCAAGUUGAAGCCUCAGCUACAGCCAGACACAUUACAUUCUAAU
ensembl:lncRNA